UACGUAGGGGGGCAAGCGUUGUCCGGAUUCAUUGGGCGUAAAGAGCGUGUAGGCGGCCAGGUAGGUCCGUUGUGAAAACUCGAGGCUCAACCUCGAGACGCCGAUGGAAACCAUUUGGCUAGAGUCCGGAAGAGGAGAGUGGAAUUCCUGGUGUAGCGGUGAAAUGCGCAGAUAUCAGGAGGAACACCGGUGGCGAAGGCGGGUCUCUGGGCCGAUACUGACGCUGAGGAGCGAAAGCGUGGGGAGCGAACAGG
rnacentral:rRNA from 1 species